GAUCAUGGCUCAGGACGAACGCUGGCGGCAUGCCUAACACAUGCAAGUCGAACGGGGGUAGCAAUACCCUAGUGGCGAACGGGUGAGUAACACAUAAGCAAUCUGCCCUUCACAGGGGGAUAACAGCGGGAAACUGCUGCUAAUACCGCAUAAGACCACGGUACCGCAUGGUACAGGGGUAAAAACGAAUCAGUGGUGAAGGAUGAGCUUAUGUCCCAUUAGCUAGUUGGUGAGAUAACAGCCCACCAAGGCGACGAUGGGUAGCCGACCUGAGAGGGUGAUCGGCCACACUGGAACUGAGACACGGUCCAGACUCCUACGGGAGGCAGCAGUGGGGAAUAUUGGGCAAUGGAAGGAAACUCUUACCCAGCAAUGCCGCGUGAGUGAAGAAGGUCUUCGGAUUGUAAAGCUCUUUGAUUGGGGACGAAGAAAGUGACGGUACCCAAAGAACAAGCCCCGGCUAACUACGUGCCAGCCGCCGC
rnacentral:rRNA from 1 species